GAUAGAGGAAACUGAGGUACUGACAGGUCACAGCGCCUCCGAGAGAAAAAGGCGGUGGCCUUGGAGCUCCGGUCUCCUUCACUGCACCCUGGGAAGUCUUCACACCGCCUUUCUCUUUCCCCUGGUGGUCUAAUCUGGAGUCAGAUCCAGCCGUCAGCUCUUACAGACGGGGAAGGACCGGGAGCCAAGGGGAAAACAACAGGUUUCUAUAAUUCAUCAUUCACUCCUUUCUGAAAACCUAGAAUGAAAAAGUUUAGCAGCUCAGCGCCCCGGCCUCUCUCCAUUCUCUCCCCAAACACAUCGGCCUGUUUGUUCUCUUUCAUCCCCGCUCUUCCUGUUGCAUUCUGCCGCUUCAAUGGGGAAGGAGUGAAACCGGAUGGCUGGACCCAGUGCGGGGAAAUGACUUCAGAGCCACCUUUGUUUCCCUCAUUCCUUUGAGCGCACUUGGCCCCGCGUCUCCAUGAAAGGGCUUGUUUGAACCAUUCGGAACAUCCAGCAAGCCAGAGACGCUGCGGCCAGAACCGCUCGCAUCUUUUCAGGCUGCCUGAGACUCUGGGUUAAACUGCCAAAUUUUUGCAACAAAACUAACCAUGACAUUGGACAUUGUGUUAUAAAUUAGCCACAGCCUUCCAAGCAAAUUGUCUCUUUUUAUUGUAUCAGUGUAAGCCUUAGAAACAUUUGGCUUCAGCUACUACCUUCAGGGAGGCUAAGAGGAUAUUUUUGUUUUGCCCCAAACCAACUCUACAGACUCCAAGUAGCAUGUGCUAAUAUCCAUAUCUUCAUGCACGGUUUUUCUUAUCACACUCCCUCUGCGAACCUCUGUCAGUUACAUUCCAUCUCUCUGUCCCACAUCCACCAACCUGCUUUCAAGUUUUGAUGUGGCAGAAACUCUCUCUGAACAUCUAUAAAACAAAUGAUGCACUUCUCUUUUGGAAUGCAUUUCACGAUAAUUAUGUGAAACUUCUUAUAAAGAAUAGUUCUUUUCACACAUACAGUCAGAGAUGUUAAAAUGCAUGUUUAUUAGCAAUGUAUAGGAUUUUAUUGUUUGGUGCUCACAGAAUCAAUGUAGAUUUCCACAUUUGUUAGGUCACUCUGGGUGUGUAUGUGUCAUGUGGGGAGAGGCCGUGCCCAUCUGUUUGAGCUAUGUCACCAAAAGCUAUAUCAAGAUUUUUAAUUAGGCUGAGAGUGGUAGCUCACGCCUGUAAUACCAGCAAUCUGGGAGGCCAAGGCGGGCGGAUCACUUCAGGUCAGGAAUUCCAGACCAGCCUGGCCAACAUGGUGAAACCCUGUCUCUACUAAAAAUACAAAAAAUUAGCUGGGCGUGGUGGCACAUACCUGUCAUCCCAGCUACUUGGAAGGCUGAGGCACAAGAACCGUUUGAACCUGGGAGGCGGAGGUUGCAGUGAUUGAGAUCGUGCCACUGCACUCCAGCCUGGGUGACACAGUGAGAUUCUGUCUCAGGAAAAACAAACAAACAAACAGACAAAACUUUUAAUUAAAAGGAACCCCCCAAAAUACACAGUUGGUAAUUUCUUUUCCUAUUUUUUCUUAACUUUUACACACACACACACACACACACACACACACACACCCCACAGGACAAAUUUAGGCUCAGAAAUAACCUUAAGUAGUAAACUUCAUUAACCUAAAAUGCCAUUUACUAAAAAUAAAAUAAACCUUCUUAUAAUAUUUGCAAAACACAACCCAUGACAUUUGAUAAUCUUGAGUGUUGUCAUCAGAACCAAGAACACUGUAUUACUGCCUAUGCCCUUCCACAUUGGAAAUAAGACAACUGUGACAAUAUAUUGCAUUGUACACAACAACUACGCAACAUUGUA